rnacentral:rRNA from 1 species
UGGGCGAGAGCCUGAACCAACCAAGUAGCGUGCGGGAUGAAGGCCCUUGUGGUCGUAAACCGCUUUAUCAGUGAAUAAAGUGCACCACGUGUGGUGUCAUUGCAGGUAGCUGAAGAAAAGGACCGGCUAAUUCCGUGCCAGCAGCCGCGGUAAU